CCGCAGGUGGUCAUCCGCCGCCUGCCUCCGGGCCUCACCAAGGAGCAGCUGGAGGAGCAGCUGCGCCCGCUGCCAGCACACGACUACUUCGAGUUCUUCGCCGCCGACCUGAGUCUUUAUCCUCAUCUCUACUCAAGAGCAUACAUUAAUUUUAGGAAUCCUGAUGACAUCCUUCUUUUUAGAGAUCGUUUUGAUGGAUAUAUCUUCCUUGACAGCAAAGUGGCUCACACCUGUAAUCCCAGCACUUUAGGAGGCCAAGGCGGGUGGAUCACGAGGUCAGGAGUUCGAGACCGGCCUGAGCAACAACGUGAAACCCUGUCUCUACUAAAAAUACAAAAAUUAGCCAGGCAUGGUGGCAGGCGCCUGUAGUCCCAGCUACUCGGAAGACUGAGACAGGAGAAUUGCUUGAACCUGGGAGGCGGAGGUUGCAGUGAGCCGAGAUCAUGCCACUGCAUCCCAGCCGGGGCGACGGAGCAAAAAAAUAUAUCCAGAAUAUAAGAAGUUUUUAGAAACCUACUGUGUGGAGGAAGAGAAGACCAGUGCCAACCCUGAGACUCUGCUGGGGGAGAUGGAGGCGAAGACAAGAGAGCUCAUUGCUAGAAGAACCACACCUCUUUUGGAAUAUAUUAAAAAUAGAAAAUUAGAAAAGCAGAGAAUUCGAGAAGAGAAGCGAGAAGAACGGAGGAGGAGAGAGUUAGAAAAGAAACGUUUGCGGGAAGAGGAAAAAAGAAGAAGAAGAGAAGAAGAAAGAUGCAAAAAAAAA
rnacentral:lncRNA from 10 species